UACGGAGGGUGCAAGCGUUAAUCGGAAUUACUGGGCGUAAAGCGCACGCAGGCGGUCUGUCAAGUCGGAUGUGAAAUCCCCGGGCUCAACCUGGGAACUGCAUCCGAAACUGGCAGGCUAGAGUCCUGUAGAGGGGGGUAGAAUUCCAGGUGUAGCGGUGAAAUGCGUAGAGAUCUGGAGGAAUACCGGUGGCGAAGGCGGCCCCCUGGACAAAGACUGACGCUCAGGUUCGAAAGCGUGGGGAGCAAACAGGAUUAGAUACCCUGGUAGUCCACGCCGUAAACGAUGUCGACUUGGAGGUUGUGGCCUUGAGGCGUGGGUGCCGGAGCUAACGCGUUAAGUCGACCGCCUGGGGAGUACGGCCGCAAGGUUGAA
rnacentral:rRNA from 1 species